GGACACGCCCACGGUGGCCUCGGGCAGCUCGUCGUCCUCCGUCCACUCGUUGAGCUCGGGGUGGAAGCACUGGAUGCACUUCUUGUACUUCUUCUGGCCCUCGUUCCAGCCGCCCACCAGGGUCUCUAUACAAGACGUCUCUACUAAGGGACUUCUCAGUAAGGCUUGGGCGUCCCCCAACAGUGAUGAGGACGCGACAGCCCCCGCGGAUCCUCGUGCGCCUAGACUGCAAUGUGUUUUGAUGAUACGGAAUCAGAUCACGUGUUAAGUAUUGCCUUGAUGCCUUGGCACACUGAGAAAUUAUUCUGCACCCUGAAGGAGAUAGCUGGAAUGAAGAGAACUUCAGAGAUGUGCAUACUGGGACCAUCUGCAAAAAGGUAGGACUAAGAGAGGACUUAGGAACAUGAGACUUCUGAGUGCUAGUGUUUUAGGGGGUGUUGUACAGCAAAGACAUUCAUUUACAAUUUUUGUAGCUUAAGGUGUCAAAAAUUAGGCCCAAGGGGGG